UACGUAGGGUGCAAGCGUUAAUCGGAAUUACUGGGCGUAAAGCGUGCGCAGGCGGUUUUGUAAGUCUGUCGUGAAGUCCCCGGGCUCAACCUGGGAAUUGCGAUGGAGACUGCAAGGCUAGAAUCUGGCAGAGGGGGGUAGAAUUCCACGUGUAGCAGUGAAAUGCGUAGAGAUGUGGAGGAACACCGAUGGCGAAGGCAGCCCCCUGGGUCAAGAUUGACGCUCAUGCACGAAAGGCGUGGGGAGCAAACGAGG
rnacentral:rRNA from 1 species